GCCUCAUUGGCUCAGAAGAAGAGCGUCUGUCUUGUAAACAGAAGGCCUCUGCUUCGAUUCCAGCAUGAGGCA
rfam:Angiostrongylus cantonensis strain Taiwan genome assembly, scaffold: ACAC_contig0012333